rnacentral:rRNA from 1 species
GAUGAACGCUGGCGGCGUGCCUAAUACAUGCAAGUCGAGCGAACGGACGAGAAGCUUGCUUCUCUGAUGUUAGCGGCGGACGGGUGAGUAACACGUGGAUAACCUACCUAUAAGACUGGGAUAACUUCGGGAAACCGGAGCUAAUACCGGAUAAUAUUUUGAACCGCAUGGUUCAAAAGUGAAAGACGGUCCUGCUGUCACUUAUAGAUGGAUCCGCGCUGCAUUAGCUAGUUGGUAAGGUAACGGCUUACCAAGGCAACGAUGCAUAGCCGACCUGAGAGGGUGAUCGGCCACACUGGAACUGAGACACGGUCCAGACUCCUACGGGAGGCAGCAGUAGGGAAUCUUCCGCAAUGUGCGAAAGCCUGACGGAGCAACGCCGCGUGAGUGAUGAAGGUCUUCGGAUCGUAAAACUCUGUUAUUAGGGAAGAACAUAUGUGUAAGUAACUGUGCACAUCUUGACGGUACCUAAUCAGAAAGCCACGGCUAACUACGU